AGAUGAAAGCAUGCAUGGAAAUGAAAAAACCAAAACAUUAAUAUACAAGUAAAGAGGAAACCGUUGAACUUCCAAUGGACUUUAGUAACUCUGCUCUGUUGAAAUGGACAUCCGAAGACGUGUUCAUUCCUCCUGCUAUUUCUCUUCUGAAUCUUAAUAGAAACACCUUUCCUGUCAUUAUUGUCUUAUUGUAGCUUGCUUAUUAAAAUUCUGCAUAUUAAUAA